UCCCUGGUGUCUUAGAUGGUAAAGAAUCUUGCUUGCAAUGCAGGAGACCUGGGUUUGAUUCCUGGAUUGGGAU
rfam:Ovis aries breed Texel chromosome 6, whole genome shotgun sequence.